AGUGAAGCGGGAAGAGCUCAAAUUUAAAAUCUGGCAGUCUCUGGCUGUCCGAGUUGUAAUUUAGAGAAGUGUUGCCCGCGCUGGACCCGUAUACAAGUCCUCUGGAAUGGGGUGUCAUAGAGGGUGAGAAUCCCGUCUUUGAUACGGACUACCAGUGCUUUGUGGUGCGCUCUCGAAGAGUCGAGUUGUUUGGGAAUGCAGCUCAAAAUGGGUGGUAAAUUCCAUCUAAAGCUAAAUACAGGCGAGAGACCGAUAGCGAACAAGUACCGUGAGGGAAAGAUGAAAAGAACUUUGGAAAGAGAGUUAAACAGUACGUGAAAUUGCUGAAAGGGAAACGCUUGAAGUCAGUCGCGUUGUUCAAGAAUCAGCCUUGCUUUCUUGCUUGGUGUACUUUUUGUUCAAUGGGUCAACAUCAGUUUUGACCACUGGAUAAGGGCCAGGGAAAUGUGGCAUCUUUAGAUGUGUUAUAGUCUCUGGUCAUAUACAGUGGUUGGGACUGAGGAACUCAGCAUGCCAAAAGGACGGGUCUUUAAGACUACGUUACAUGCUUAGGAUGUUGGCAUAAUGGCUUUAAUCGACCCGUCUUGAAACACGGACCAAGGAGUCUAACAUGCCUGCGAGUGUUUGGGUGGAAAACCCGAGCGCGUAAUGAAAGUGAAAGUUGAGAUCUCUAUCAUGGAGAGCAUCGACGCCCAUACCUGAUGUUUACUGACGGAUAUGCGGUAGAGCAUGUAUGUUGGGACCCGAAAGAUGGUGAACUAUGCCUGAAUAGGGUGAAGCCAGAGGAAACUCUGGUGGAGGCUCGUAGCGAUUCUGACGUGCAAAUCGAUCGUCGA
rnacentral:rRNA from 1 species